GUCUCUGAUGAUGAUUUAAAUUUGAAAACUUUCGUUCUUCUGAGAAGAAAAAUCGAUGCGGAUUUCAAUAUGGAGACCUGAGCUGAAGAGAC
rfam:Corchorus capsularis cultivar CVL-1 contig07201, whole genome shotgun sequence.